rnacentral:rRNA from 1 species
GACGAACGCUGGCGGCGUGCUUAACACAUGCAAGUCGAACGGUGAAGCGCCUUCCUUUUUGGUGGGUGUGGAUGAGCGGCGAACGGGUGAGUAACACGUGAGUAACCUGCCCCCUUCUUCUGGAUAACCGCAUGAAAGUGUGGCUAAUACGGGAUAUUCUGGGUCUGUCGCAUGAUGGGUCUGGGAAAGAUAUUGUUUCGGUGGGGGAUGGGCUCGCGGCCUAUCAGCUUGUUGGUGGGGUGAUGGCCUACCAAGGCGGUGACGGGUAGCCGGCCUGAGAGGGUGGACGGUCACACUGGGACUGAGACACGGCCCAGACUCCUACGGGAGGCAGCAGGGGGGAAUAUUGAACAAUGGGCGCAAGCCUGAUGCAGCGACGCCGCGUGAGGGAUGGAGGCCUUCGGGUUGUGAACCUCUUUCGCCAGUGAAGCAGGCCUGCCUCGUUUGUGGGUGGGUUGACGGUAGCUGGAUAAGAAGCGCCGGCUAACUACGUG